rnacentral:rRNA from 1 species
UACGUAGGGUGCGAGCGUUGUCCGGAAUUAUUGGGCGUAAAGAGCUUGUAGGCGGUCUGUCGCGUCUGCUGUGAAAAUCCGGGGCUCAACCCCGGACUUGCAGUGGGUACGGGCAGACUAGAGUGUGGUAGGGGAGACUGGAAUUCCUGGUGUAGCGGUGAAAUGCGCAGAUAUCGGGAGGAACACCGGUGGCGAAGGCGGUUCUCUGGGCCUGACCUGACGCUGAGGAGCGAAAGCGUGGGGAGCGAACAGG